CCUACGGGCGGCAGCAGUGAGGAAUAUUGGUCAAUGGGCGCGAGUCUGAACCAGCCAAGUCGCGUGAGGGAAGACGGUCCUAUGGAUUGUAAACCUCUUUUGUCGGGGAGCAAAAGACGCCACGCGUGGCGUUCCGAGAGUACCCGAAGAAAAAGCAUCGGCUAACUCCGUGCCAGCAGCCGCGGUAAUACGGAGGAUGCGAGCGUUAUCCGGAUUUAUUGGGUUUAAAGGGUGCGCAGGCGGAAGAUCAAGUCAGCGGUAAAAUUGAGGGGCUCAACCUCUUCGAGCCGUUGAAACUGGUUUUCUUGAGUGAGUGAGAGGUAUGCGGAAUGCGUGGUGUAGCGGUGAAAUGCAUAGAUAUCACGCAGAACUCCGAUUGCGAAGGCAGCAUACCGGCGCUCAACUGACGCUCAUGCACGAAAGUGUGGGUAUCGAACAGGAUUAGAUACCCUGGUAGUC
rnacentral:rRNA from 1 species